CAUAGGUAUUGUUUUGUGACUUGAUAUUUUCAUUUAAAAUGAUAUUUGCAAGAUUCCUCCAUAUUGAUGUGGUAGCAGCAGUUUAUUAAUUUUCAUUGCUUUAUGGUUUUCUACUGUGUGGAUAUACUGUAAUUUAUUUAUUCUCCCAGCCAUAGACAUUGAGGUUGUUUGGUUUAACAAGAGGGUAGCAUUGACUAAACUGUUUCUCAAAGGAGGUGGGGAAAUCUUUGAUUCCUGCAGAUUUUAAAGGAGAACUCUGGAUUUGUAUGUUGGCCUUAUAAAAGAAUGGCAACACUUACUAGCCCAAAACAUCUGGAAGUAGGGCUCAGAAAUUAGUGCUAUAACCUGCCCUUUGGGUGAUUCUGAUGCAGCUCAAGUUUGAGAACCACUGAACUAACAGGAGACCCACCGGUUUCUCUCUGUUUCUAGGGAGCUGUGAGCUGGGGGAGAGAGCUGACUAAGAAGAAGACACUCCCCAGAAAGGUGGCCUGCCAGUCUUCACAAUGUAUGGGAGCAGGUGGGAAAAGAGGAAGUUACAGAACAUCUUUUAACCUGAGUUUCUACAUCUGUACAGCAGGAGAAGGUUGUAUCUACUCUGCCUACUUGUUGCAAGACUUAAUUACGAGGAAGGAAAGGUGCACUGCAUCCCUAGUGGGCACCAUGGACAGUGUCAGGGGUGUGGGAAAGUCCUACAGACAAUCCUGAGUGCUUUGGAGGCCAAGAAUUUCACUCUCAACUCCAGCCUGUCCUUUACAUGUUUCCCUUCCUCAGCUGCAGGUGUUUGCAUUUCAUCACUGAAAUUGUUGAAACUGCUGAUCAGGAAACACAGAACGAGUUUAACCAGCCAAGUCAACUUCUGCAAGAUGGACUCCAGCUUGGGAGCUGUGUAUGGAAUAAAUAAGAUAUUCCAGACAUCAAAGCACUCGAUAAGGCACUGUAGAAAUGACAACGAGGUAAAAGCCCACAGUGAUGGUGGUGGUGAGAAAGCAGGGCACCACAGAACAUGGCUUGGUCCUAGAGUGGUCUGUGCAGGGUUAUGCUGAAGCUUCUCUCUUGGCUUGUCCUCUCCUCCUUGGUGUGUGUCCUCCCGGCCCCAGAGUCCUGGGAUCUUACCUUCUUCCUCCUCCUGCCAGUGACAUAGCUGUCUUGAAGCUACUGCCUGCCAGCUCUUCCACUGGCUAACCUCUGCUCCUUCUCCAGCUCCUCCUGGGGAGCAAGGGAGCAGGCAGCUGUGGGGGCAGAGGGCAGCCCGAUGGUCUGAAAUCAGGACUGAAAAGCACAUGUGUACAGCUUGCCAGCCAGAAUAACAAACCUCUUUUUGUGCAGUUUCUUCAAUUCUGGACACUUUCUCCCACCAUCUCUCUCUUCUCUUCUUUACUCACAUCCUGCCCCACCCCCAGCAGCACAGCCACCCAUACAACAUACCCCCAGCUUCUGAGCAGAGGACAUGAAAUUAAUCUCCAGGGUAGGAAAAGGAAGUGUAUCAUUAGAACUGGUAUGAUUUAGGAAAGGGAAAAUGUCAUUGGAAAGAAGCACAACCUUGAGCUAUCUGCCUGUUUUACGGACAUGAAGACCAAAGAUUUUAGAAUGAAGGACAGUAAUUUUCAUUGGAAAA